CGCAGUUUAAUAAUGCUGUACAGAGCAGGGAUCGAUAUGAAAAGAUUUCUUAUCUCUGAUAAAGCUUAAGAACUCAGCAUGUUCUCAAAAAGGAGCGUCGUUCGUCACGCACAUAUUCCGUCCACAUAAAUUGGAUAAAACGGAGGCCUGGUUGGUAAGCCCAGGCUUCUCAGUUCACUGGGCAGCUCCUCCGUUUAGGUUAAUUAAUUAAUUGUAUUUUUUUUUUU